AUCAAAUGUAACAGUCCACACUCAUGAUUGACCUUGCCUGGAGUAUGCCGUCAGUCAACAUUAAGGUGUUCAUUACAAUGGAGGAGGUAAAUUUAAAGAGUCACUGUAUUUUUUGCCUUCCAAGAUCACUUUAGGUGUCCUUAAUGUACUGUAAAAUCUUUCUCUUUUUCUGAACAAAGGCUGAGCCUUUAAUGACCAUCAGUUGUUAAAAAGACCAGUGCUAAGCUGGGCACACUGGCUCGUGCCUAUAAUCCCAGCUACUCGGGAGGCUGAGGUGGGAGGAUUGCUUGAGCCCAGGAGACUGAGGCUGCUGUGAGCUGUGAUGGUGCCGCUGCACUCCAGCCGGUGUGACAGAGCAAGACCCUGUCUCAACAAAAAACAACAAAAAGCUGGCUCCUCACCCUGAUACAGGGAUUCUAUCUUCCUGUUGUGUACUAAUGAAAUAACUGUUCACU
rnacentral:lncRNA from 10 species